rnacentral:rRNA from 1 species
UACGUAGGGUGCGAGCGUUGUCCGGAAUUAUUGGGCGUAAAGAGCUCGUAGGCGGUUUGUUGCGUCGGCUGUGAAAUCCCGAGGCUCAACCUCGGGUCUGCAGUCGAUACGAGCAAACUAGAGUGUUGCAGGGGAGACUGGAAUUCCUGGUGUAGCGGUGAAAUGCGUAGAUAUCGAGAGGAACACCUGCGGCGAAGGCGGGUUGCUGGGCUGACACUGACGCUGAGGCGCGAAAGCUAGGGGAGCGAACGGG